GGACGAAGGGUCCGUUUCUCGGGUGAAUCUGGGCCAUCAGUGAAACAUUGAAGCUUCAGGAUGAACCACGAAGAGUUUUGAGCUGGAAAUUUGAGGCAGCUGUUUGGGAAGAUCAAGCUAGCAGCUCACCCAGGGAGCGAGAGCGAGACGGGUAUCAUGUAAUUCUCGCUGGAGGGUAGUCUUGCUCAUGAGGAUGGUUCUCGCUGGUUAUGGUCUCGCUAGUGUUGAUCUCGCUAGUAGUAAUAUUGCUAGUGAUGAUCUCGUUGAUGAAGGCCAAGAGGAGCUAGGAGAAGCCUACAAACUAUUAAGAGCCCAGACAAGUAGUAGCGGUCAAUUCCCCAGAAGUUAAUUUUGUUGCUGCUCUGCCACUUAAAGACUCAAAGCUAAAGGAAGACUAGGUGUUUAUUCUGUAAAUACUAGUACACAUGUUUUGCACGUAUAAGGACUAAACUUAGUGUCAUAGGCUCACUGGAUUUUAUAGUGUAUAUAGUUGUGAAUGUGAAUAGUAGCUAUGGAACCCUGUUGAUGUAAAAAUGUUAAGUUUUGUCAAUCUAUUUAGUACGUUUAGUAUGUUAAGCACUGAGGUUGUAAAUAUUGUUGUUAUCAAGUCAUAAAUGCAUAUCAGAGUUCUAAAGCAGGUUUUAAAUGUAAGUUAUGCAGUAAGUGCCAACAAGAGGGUCGAUAACUGUUGUCGUCACAUGCCUUUUUAGGUUAAAAGGGUAAUCUGGGUAGAGGUGUGACACAUGAUCACAAAAGUAAAUGUGAUCAGUAGCUCUGAGAGGUAGUGGAUAGACACUGAUGUUACGCACCAUGUCUGUCAUGAUUCUAGUUUAUUCAAGUCUUAUUCUGAAACUAAGGAUAAAAAUAUAUUGUUGGGGGAUCAUCACUCAACAAAAAUUGUUGGAAUCGGCGAGGUGAAACUAAAGUUUACCUCUGCAAAGACUCGCAUUCUAAAGGAAAUUCUGCACACUCUAGAGGUAAGGAAGAAUCCGGUCUCGGGCUAUCUCCUCAACAAGGCAGUCUUUACUCAGAACAUUGGGGCCGACUUGUAUAUUCUUACAAAAAAGGAGCGUAUU